rnacentral:rRNA from 1 species
UACGGGGGGGGCAAACGUUGCUCGGAAUCAUUGGGCGUAAAGCGCACGUAGGCGGCUUCGCAGGUCGGAUGUGAAAUCCCUCGGCUCAACCGAGGACGUGCAUACGAAACUGCGGAGCUUGAGUGCUGAAGAGGAUCGCGGAAUUCCCGGUGUAGAGGUGAAAUUCGUAGAUAUCGGGAGGAACACCAGUGGCGAAGGCGGCGAUCUGGGCAGACACUGACGCUGAGGUGCGAAAGCGUGGGGAGCAAACAGG